GUCCCUAUCUACUAUCUAGCGAAACCACAGCCAAGGGAACGGGCUUGGAAUCAUUAGCGGGGAAAGAAGACCCUGUUGAGCUUGACUCUAGUUUGGCACUGUAAGAAGACAUAAGAGGUGUAGCAUAAGUGGGAGAUAGGCUUGCUUAUCAACAAUGAAAUACCACUACUUUUAUCGUUUUCUUACUUACUUGAUUAAAUGGAGAAUGCACUUUCAUUCAUUACAGUGUUGGAUUGUGACCUGUCAUCUUUCCAUUUAUGAAUAUGAUGAUCUUGUGCACUUUUCUCGAUCCAAGUGUCAUGAACCGUUGGUACGUUUGUGUUCCCUUGGUGUUUACAUUAGGGGCAGAGUAUUAACAUUUUAUGGUUAAGACACGAUCCAAGUCAGGGACACUGCCAGGUGGGGAGUUUGACUGGGGCGGUACAUCUCUAAAACAAUA
rnacentral:rRNA from 1 species